CACUAAUUGGCCAGUUAGACACCUGGAUCACUCACGCUUCCCCAGGAGGAGACACCACUGUCACAGGGCUUGACCCAGAGCCAGAGCCAGGCGUCAGAUCCACGCACCGUAUCAGGUUUCUUGUCUGCCAGCUAUCGUCAACGUUCUGGACGUUUGCCAUCAGCAGAGAUCAACACAAUCUCGCUGGGGUUGAUCCGUCAGGUGGGGAUCCUCUGCGGUUUUUGAGGGCUGUCACCGGCUGAAUCCCCAGGGGAGGUCCUGCCCAGCGUGGCGCCAUGCUGAUGGGCCUUCCCUCGCCCUGGCAACCAGACUGGGGUUAAAUUAAGAAAGGCUAACCCCAGAGCUGUGGUGAAGACGAGGGCGAGGUCAAGCGUUCUGGUCUGCUUUGAUGAUGGUGGAGGCUGGAGGGCGCAGCAGACGGUAGCUCUUCAUCUGGAGCCGACAGGCCAAGGACGGAUCGAGGGCUCCUGAUCCCUAAUGUUGCUCCUUUUGGGUGCUGCAAUGUGAAUGCAGCUGAGAUGGACAUCGUGGAUUUAGUCUAAUGCAUUUUUUGCUGUUCAUUCUUUUACAUUAGUCCUAUUUAAUAAAAAUGCAU